rnacentral:rRNA from 1 species
UACAGAGGUGGCAAGCGUUGUUCGGAAUUACUGGGCGUAAAGGGCGCGUAGGCGGCUUGGUCAGUCCCGUGUGAAAUCCCUCGGCUCAACUGAGGAACUGCACGGGAAACUGCCUGGCUUGAGUUCGGGAGAGGGAAGCGGAAUUCCGGGUGUAGCGGUGAAAUGACGUAGAUAUCCGGAGGAACACCGGUGGCGAAGGCGGCUUCCUGGACCGACACUGACGCUGAGGCGCGAAAGCUAGGGGAGCAAACGGG